AUUUUCGAUAUCUUAAUAAUUCAGACGGUACGGCGAAAUCAAAAUCCCUAUGGCUGAGUUGUCUAACUACAAAGCAAAGUUGGAUUCGUUGAUUUCCUUAUAUUUUAGUAUAUUUUCUAAUUUGUAGUCGGUGACUCACUCCCUGCGAACCACUUCAAGCCGUCAUUUUUCAAUCUCCGGUGCAUCUUCUAUUCUUCAAUUCCAUUUCUGUUUAUGAUUCCCUCUGUUUCCGCCUCAAAAUCUGGGAGGUUCAAGGCUCUAGCCAUUUCUUACUAUAGGGCACCAAAAGGAAUCAUUCUAGAGUCUGUUAGUCCAGGAUCUCACCAUGCAAACAACAUCGUAUAGUCAUCCUUUAAUCUGUUUCUCUUGCAGAAACAUCAGUGCAAAUGGGAAGAAUAAAUAUAAGGUGAAAUUCUGUGCACCAUUUACCUCUCAAUGGGAUCGGAAAUGUGAAUUCAAUGGGAGACCUCAAAUUUAUAAUUCUCCUGGCCCCAUAAAACCAAAAAGAUUGUUUGUGCUUCACAACACAGAUGACAGCCAUCCAUCUGCUUCUACGGUAGCUGAUGAAAUGAACACAAACCAUGCUCCAAAUGGCGCAUCACCAGCAUUUCUCAGCAACUGGUCACCUCCAAGGUAUCUGUGGAGGGGGUUAUCAGUUUUAAUCCUGGCAGGGCAGGUGAUUGUCAAAACUCUAAAGGGAAAGAUUCAUUGGAGGAAUACUCUUCAACAACUGGAGAGAGUUGGUCCAAGAUCAGUUGGGGUGUGUCUUUUAACUUCAGCUUUUGUGGGCAUGGCCUUCACAAUUCAAUUUGUAAGAGAGUUCACAAGGUUAGGAUUGAACAGGUCUGUAGGUGGGGUUUUAGCUCUGGCUUUCUCAAGGGAGUUAAGUCCUGUGGUUACAGCAAUUGUGGUUGCAGGGCGUAUUGGAAGUGCUUUUGCAGCAGAGUUAGGAACUAUGCAGGUUUCUGAGCAAACUGAUACAUUGAGAGUUCUUGGUUCAGACCCUGUCGAUUACCUUGUGACACCAAGAGUGAUAGCUACUUGUAUUGCCCUUCCUCUUUUGACCCUAUUGUGUUUUACGUUAGGGAUGGCAUCUAGUGCCAUUCUUGCUGAUGGUGUUUAUGGGGUGAGCAUCAACAUUAUCCUGGAUUCAGCUCAGCGGGCUCUCAGAUCAUGGGAUAUUAUUAGUGCAAUGAUCAAGUCACAGGUUUUUGGUGCUAUCAUAUCUAUUGUGAGUUGUGCGUGGGGAGUUACAACUUUGGGAGGGGCUAAAGGUGUUGGGGAAUCAACGACGUCAGCUGUGGUUAUUUCUCUAGUAGGCAUCUUCAUCGCCGAUUUUGCUCUUUCUUGUUGUUUCUUCCAAGGAGCAGGAGAUCAGCUAAAGAAUUGCAUUUAGGCAACUAAUGUUGUCUCUGCAAUUUGGUUUUUCUCUUUUGUACAAAGUGAAUGGGUAUAAAAUGUACCAGUGGAUAGAAAGAAUUGAAAUGAGGCAAUCAGUGCCUCUGACUUGGAAAGAUAGAGUCAAUGCGGUCCUUUAACAUUAAAGGUGUUAAAAUGUGAUCAUGUGUAAGUUCAAAUUCUCUUUUUCCUCUCCAACCUCAGCUUUUUUGGCAACACAAUCCCACCAACCACCAUCCUGACGACACCUCCACCACCACCACGGCACCCACCACCACCCACCCUCCUCUCCUUCUACCGAUGACAUUGUUCUUGAACCCCCUCCUUCCCUAUAUUUUUCUCUUAUCAGUGUCUCUCCUUCCAUUGAGACAGACACCUUUGCAUUGUUCCUCUGCUUGGUUUGUAUCCGCUAUAAGAGUGUGCAAGAUUAUUGCGCGCUCUAUUUGCAUUGUUUGUGGCUGUUGACAUACAAAUUAUUGUGUGGUUUUGUAAGUGAAACUCAUCAAGGUUUUCUUUCAAGUUGGAGUGCCAAGGGAUUAAGCUUUUUGGGACAUUUCUUUUUCAUCUUGUAGUUUUCCUUU